rnacentral:lncRNA from 10 species
CAGGAGAAUCAGGCAGGGAGGUUGCAGUGAGCCGAGAUGGCAGCAGUACAGCAGUACAGUCCAGCUUCGGCUCGGCAUCAGAGGGAGACCGUGGAGGGAGAGGGAGAGGGAGAGGGAGAGGCAGAGGGAGAGGGAGAGGGAGAGGGAGAGCUGUGCAGCUUAAUUUUUUUUUUCUUUUUCUUCUUCUUUUUUUGAGAUGAGUCUCACUGUAUUGCCCAGGUUGGUCUCUGACUCCUAGGCUCAAGCAAUCCUCCUGCCUCCACCUCCUGAAGUGCUGGGAUUACAGGUGUGAGCCACCUCACCUGGCCAUGCAGCUGAAAUUUAAUGGUUGCCAAUAUUCUGUCCUGAGACAUAAGUUACUUAAACAGCCAUGCUAUUGAUGAAUCUUUAGAAUGUCUUCAAUAUUUUUGCUAUUAUAAGUAGCAAAAUAAGUAUUAUUGUAGCUAAAUCUUUUACUUACCUAUAAUUGUUUCCUAAGAAGAGUAUUACAGAAGUGAAAUUACUGAGGCAAUUUUUAGGGCAUAGGGAACAUAUUGCCAAAUUGCUCCUCAGCAAGGUUUGUGCCAAUGCUGUGUCUCAAGCUGGGUAUGAAACAGCCUGUUCUCCAAACUAGGGACCUCCUCCUAGAUAUAAAACAAAACAAAAUCCUUAGUAUUUAAAUCUGUAUUUCUUUGAUUGCUAAGGGCCAGCAUGAGGGCAGCCACAGGGGUAUUUUGGGUCCCUGACGCUCCUCUGUUCUUCUGAGGCAGGAGGCAGAGAACCUAAGGCCGAUCCACGCUGGACUUCCUAGAACUAAAUCAAAUGGAAACACUUCAGCUACGACAGGAAAUAUCCUCUUCAUUUACAUAGGGCAUACACCAAGUAACCAAUGGAAACCUCUAGAGUAUAUUUCAACCCAGAAUACUCUGUAAUGGGGCUCUUGAGCCCCUAUGCUCGACGCCCCUAUGGGGUAUACUUUCAUUUUCAAUAAAUCUCUGUGUUUGUUGCUUCAUUCUUUCCUUGCUUUGUUUGUGUGUUUUGUCCAAUUCUUUGUUCAAGACGCCAAGAACCUGGACACCUUUAACUGGUAACAUAUCUUAGUGAACCAGCCAGGAGGUAAGCCCAAAGUUUGGGAUUUAUUUUUCUCCUUUCCCCUUUCUUUUCUGCUCUAUACAAGUGAGUCUCUCUCUUUCUCUCUCUCUCUCUCUCUCUCUCUCUCUCUCUCUCUCUCUCUUUUCCUUUCCAACUUGGGACACUUGGUGGGCAGCGCCUAAACACAGAGGCAACUGCAGGCUUCUGGCCAGGGCCACUCUGAAGGACAAUUUUUUAUCUUUUCCAGUUGUGGUCCCUGAUCCCUACAUUUGGUGCAGCUCGGGCAAACUCACAUGAGUUUCAGCAAUGUGUUUGUCUGCAUACAGUUAAGCAGGGCCACUAGGGCCACUCAGGGAGAAAGAACUCAGAAGCCUGACAUGCCAGCAAAAAGGUAAGAAUUUCUUACCAGUCAGACUCUGGUCUCUGUCUCUCUCUGCAAACUGGUUAAAUAAAUGGUAAAAGUCACUGUUUAUCUCCUCUGCAAAGUUUUGAUUAAUACAGAAAAAGAAUUCUGAGGCUGGUCUUAAACUGUAGUGAAUCCGGAGUGCUUUAUGUGACUUUCUAUACUGUUCUGUUAUAAAGAGGGGCACCUUAGGAUAAAAUGCAUGCCUGGGAACCUAUAGGCUCGCUAUUCAAGGCUGCCCAGCAAACUGGUCAGUCAUGUCCUUGGGAGCUUGACCUUGUAACCAUGUGGCCAUGCUUUCUCUUUUCACAAUGGCGGCCCAGGUUUAGGUUUCAAUUCCUGGCUUAGGGAAUGAGUCCUUUAUCUUCUGCCUGUCUGUGUAUUUAUAUGUGUUGUGUGUGUAAUGUAAAAGAGCUUUAAUUGAUUGGUUUAAUAAUAAUAAGAGUGUUGUGGGAAGUCAGGGACCCUGAACGGAGGGACCAGCUGGAGCUGUGGCAGAGGAACAUAAAUUGUGAAGAUUUCAUGGACAUGUAUCACUUCCCUAAUAAUACUCUUAUAAUUUCUUACACUUGUCUUACUUUAAUCUCUUAAUCCUGUUAUCUUCGUAAGCUGAGGAUGUACAUCACCUCAGGUCCACUGUGAUGAUUGCAUUAACUGUACAAAUUGAUUGUAAAACAUGUGUGUUUGAACAAUAUGAAAUUAGUGCACCUUGAAAACGAACAGAAUAACAGUGAUUUUAGGAAACAAGGGAAGAAAACCAUAACGUCUGACUGCCUGCGGGGUCGGGCAAAAAGAGCCAUAUUUUUCUUCUUGCAGAGAGUCCUAUAAAUGGACGUGCAAGUAGGUGAGAUAUCGCUAAAUUCUUUUCCUAGCAAGGAAGAUUGAUACUAAUACUCCAGGAAGAGAAUUACAUUCCUGGGGGGAGGUCUAUAAACGGCCACUCUGGGAGUGUCUGUCUUAUAUGGUUGAGUAAGGACUGAAAUAUGCCUUGGUCUCCUGCAGUACCCUCAGGCUUAUUAGGGUUGGGAAAAAACCCCACCCUGGUAAAUUUGAGGUCAGACCAGUUCUCUGCUGUCAAACUCUGUUUUCUGUUGUUUAAGAUGUUUAUCAAGACAAUACGUGCACAGCCGAACAUAGACCCUUAUCAGGAGUUCCUGAUUUUGUCCUUGCUCUGUUUCCUCAGAAGCAUGUGAUCUUUGUUCUCCUUUGUGCCCUUUGAAGCAUGUGAUUUUUGUGACCUACUCCCUGUUCUUACACCCCCUCCCCUUUUGAAAUCCCUAAUAAAAACUUGCUGGUUUUGCGGCUCAGGUGGGCAUCAUGGUCCUACAGAUAUGUGAUUCACCCCCAGCGGCCCAGCUGUAAAAUUCCUCUCUUUGUACUCUUUCUCUUUAUUUCUCAGACCAGCCAACACUUAGGGAAAAUAGAAAGAACCUACAUUGAAAUACUGGGGGCGGGUUCCCCUGAUAUAAGAGCUUAAAUAUUUUGUCAGAAAAGUAGAAAGUGUAAUGCCUUUUUAAAAAUUUUAUUUUAUUUUUGAGAUGGAGUCUCUCUCUGUCGCCAGGCUGGAGUGCAGUGGCAUGAUCCCGGUCACUGCAACCUCUCUCUGCCUCCCAGGUUCAAGUGAUUCUCCUGUCUCAGCCUCUUGAGUAGCUGGGACUACAGGCAUGAGCCACCACGCCUGGCUAAUUUUGUAUUUUUAGUAGAGAUGAGCUUUCACCAUAUUGGUCAGGCUGGUCUUGAACUCCUGACCUCAGGUGAUCCACCCUCCUCAGCCUCCCAAAGUGCUGGGAUUACAGGCAUAAGCCACAGCACCCGGCCAUCCAAUGCCUUUUAUUUAGUUCAUGUGACUUAAGUAAUCUUUGGGAACAAAGACAGUUUUAAAGAUUAUUGGUAAAAUAAAAAUAUCUUCAAAAAUUGUAAACAUUUGGCUUAAAUUAUGCAGGUCAGAUACUAGGUUUGCUAAAUACUUUAGGUCAUAAACUGCUUCUUUGACUUUUAAAAAUUGUUCAAUUUAUUUUGGAGCAUUAGAUUCUAGAUAAGGCCUGGGGAUGUGUGAAAUUAGCCAUGCCCCCUAGCUAUGCAAAGAAGGUUAUAAAGAAAAGAUAUUUUACAUACGAAAGGAUCUUAUAUGGUAAAUUUUUGUCCUAAAGUAAAAUAAUUGGUUGUUUAAAAGAGGAAUGUUUAGGACAAAUCAGAAAGUCCAAGCAUGUCAUACAUCGUCUGUGUAUGUCAUGAAAGAAUUUAUGAAAGAGAAUUUAUGCAAGAAAUGUACUAUUUAAAGGUGAUUAGGCCACCUAAAUGCUUCAUAAAAUGACACCAUGACUCUUAAUUGUACAACCUGCCUGCUUUACAGCUAGGUAAGACCUGGGACAUGUGGAGUUAGACACUGGAAGAAGUCAGACUUUAUUUGCACUUCUGUGUGGGUCCUAGGCUCCACACCUUGUACAUAAUUAAAAUCCUAAACUUGGCCGGGCGCAGUGGCUGAUGCCUGUAAUCCCAGCACUUUGGGAGGCUGAGGCAGGUGGAUCACGAGGUCAGGAGAUUGAGACCAUCCUGGCUAACAUGAUGAAACCUCGUCUCUACUAAAAAUACAAAACAUUAGCUGGGCGUCAUGGCGGGUGCCUGUAGUCCCAGCUACUCAGGAGGCUGAGGCAGGAGAAUGGCGUGAACCUGGCAGUCAGAGCCAAGAUCAUGCCACUGCAUUCCAACCUGGGUGACAGAGCGAGACACUGUCCCAAAAAAAAAAAAAAAAUCCUAAACUUACCAAGGUUUUCACUAAAAGUAAAGUUGCAAAGAGUUAACAUUGUAACAUGUAAUCAAGACUACUGAAGAAACUGUUUUACAUGCAAGGUGUGUAAGAAGAGUAAAAUGUGUUAUUGGUAAAAGAUUAUAAGAAGGCAUGGGAAUGUGGAUUUUUUUUUUUUGCCAAGUGUUAAAGAAUUGUUUUAAGUUAAGAUAAAUCUAAAGGUUUGAACAAGUUGUGGAAGGUUUUUAAAAAAUAAAUCUUAUAAAAAAUUCUGUGUGUGAAAUAUUAAUAUAUGUUCCAAAAUUGUAUGGGAUUUCCAAAAUUCUAAUAUGUCUGAGUAUAUGCUAUCAAUCAUAAUUAUGGUUAUUAUGUUAACUGAUUGUAAACCACAGAAAUAACUAAAUUUCCUUGUAUAAAGCUACUAAUCCAAGUAGAACAAAAAAUUAAUUAAAUACUAAGAAAAUAUUUUGUCAGAUUUUCAUGUUAAACCAGCUGAUACUGAAAUUGUUUAGAUAUACAAUUUGAAUGAACUCCAUGGUCUAAGUCAAAUUACUUAUGAUAACCCAUCAGUUACCAGUGCUAUUCAAAUAAUUUGAAGAAACAACUGGUAUUCAAGAGGAUAUAAGUCUAAUGUUAAUUAAGCAUGGACUCAUGGAGAACCAGGAUGACCACCUUGUCCUUCUUGAGUCCUUCAAGGUUUUAUUAUUAAAAGUUCUGCAUUCCACAACUCAUCAUGGAAAAGAUAAAAUGAUCCAAAUUGAAUAUAUUGGUGUGGUGACUUAUACAUUGCUAAAAUAGUUUAUAACCAAUGUUUGGUCCCAUAUUUCUGGGAAAACAAUCAAAGCUUCAGGUACAUUUGGUCACCUGAUGGGCCAUUUAAACAUUUUAUAAAGGAAUUUCUUUCAAUUGUUAUUUUCUUUUUUCUUUUUUUUUUUGGGGAGUCUCUCUCUGCCACCCAGACUGGAGUGCAGUGGCAUGAUCUCAGCUCACUGCAACCUCUGCCUCCCAGGCUCAAGGGAUUCUCCUGCCUCAGCCUCCUGAGUAGCUGGGAUUACAGGCACGUGCCACCACACCCAGCUAAUUUUUGUAUUUUUAGUAGAGAUGGGGUUUCACCAUGUUGGCCAGGCUGGUCUCGAACUCCUGGCCUCAAGUGACUGGCCCACCUCAGCCUCCCAAAGUGUAGGGAUUACAGGCAUGAGCCACUGCACCCUGCCUCAAUUGUUAUUUUCAAUGCAUGUUUUCUGGUUGUAUAAAAGCUUUCCGAUGCAAGAGGGCUGAUGUUAUAACAGUAGAUUAUUAUGCUAUGGUAUAUUUUCACCAGGUAAAGAAAGCUUUUUAUGGUUUGGAUCUUCUGAGAACAUCAGAGAAAGACUGUCCUUGCCAUCCACACUACAGCAAAAUUUUGGGACCUUGAACUUUGGGUUUAUAAUCUCACAACUGAGAAGGGUCCCUCCACAUUCUUGGAACUGUAUAUCCAUUGGAAUCCUUAAGGUAAAGCUAACUAGGGAAGUUUCUCCCCAGAAUAAGAUGGCAUACUUGAUGUGAACAGCUUUUCCCAGGAUCAUGAAUCAAGACUUCUCAACUAUCAUGAGAUCCUUAUCUUUGAAUAUUUUUUUCCUUGCCUAUGCCACUACGAAUAAUAGAAGUGGAAAAGGGGUCUGUUAUGUGCACUUAUGGGGUAUACUUUUAUUUGUGAAGGAGUUUGCAGCUAGUCUUAUACAUGGAUAACCUUGUACUUUGAUAGAUAAAAGAUGGAGGCCCAAUGUAGGUGAGAAACCUUAAUGGUACAUACAUUGCCUCACAAUCAGUCAGAAACAGAACAUUGGUUCACUCCUCUUAAUGCACAUCAUAGGUUAAAGAGAACAUUGUCAGGAGGCCUUCACUCUUCUAGAAGGGCAUCAUUAGUUAGGUCCUUUUCCAUGGUUUGGAGUAAAAUAAGCAAUGAUUAGAAAUGUAUCCCUCAAGAUAGGCUCUAUAGCAAAUUCUACUGUAAAGGCUACAGUUACACAACAGACUUUAAGUUCUCUUGUGAAGGUUAUGAUCGAAUUGGCUGAACAGAGAAGUAUCUGUGAAGCUGCUGGCCCUCAUGGCCUAUGGAAAAAACAUUGGGUAUUAUAGAGAUUCAGUUGUAGCAGAUUAACGAAGACCCUGCUUAGUUAAGUGAGUAGACUCUUUACGUAGCUCAUUCUUUAAUCUAUUUAAUUUUAGGAGGUUUGGUUUAUGGGGACCCUGGGUAAGGAGCAUACUCCAAACUCUUGGUAUUAUCCUCCCAAUAGUCAUGAUAAUAGUCUCCCUGGUGCACUGUAUUCUCUCAGACAUUUUAAAUAUUUGCAUGCAGCCAUCUCUAGAAUGUCAGAUGGUCUCUCUUCAACUGGAAUGACAAGAGCUGAAAGAAAUGUGUGACCAUGAGGACACCAUAACCUAUGAAUGAUGUUCUGAGACUAGAAACCCAAAAUGAUGGUAACUGAGAGUGGUGCUAAGGCCGUAAGUUUUGGUCACGUUCUCACCUAGGUGAGAACGUGACCAAAAAGGGGUAAUUUUUUUUAAACAAAAUUAUGGGAGGCCAUUGUUUUGAACUGAGCUCAUGCACUAGGCCCCAACAGACCAAACCAAACCAAAAUGGAGUCGCUCAUGUUAAGACUUUAAGGAAACACAUAGAUCCUAGAACAGAUCACAGACCAGGUUUUGUUAUUCUCCUGCAAAUCUCUAUAACAAACAUUCCUGACAGCAAAGGUACCCAGCCCCUGAAGUUCCCAUUAAAUCUUUUAACCAAAUUCAUUUCCUCUUACUCAGAGACCAUCAAGCUUCAGAUGAUCAUGCAACAUGGGUUCCAGCCAGUUCCAAGUGAAGAGACCACCCCCGGCCAUCAAGGAACUAUCCUCCCUCCACUAAACAGAGCAGGGCUAGCGUUCCAUGAUCCCCAAUAGGUAGGGACUAUGCCCUAAGCCAGCAUAAAGUAGUUAAAGAAGAAAGACCAUCCGUUCCUCUGCCUUCUAUAAAGAUUUAUGGGGUCACAUCUCUCAGGGGAGAAAUAAGGCAGGAGAAUAUGGUCUGGAGGCAGGGAACCUAAGGCCAAUUCAUGCUGGACUUCCUAGAAGUGAAUCAAAUGGAAACACUUCAGCUAUGACAGGGAAUAUCCUCUCCAUUUACAUAGGGCAUACACCGAGUAUCCAAUGGAAACCUCUAGAGGGUAUUUAGACCCCAGGAAAUUCUGUAAUGGGGCUCUUCAACCCCUAUGCUUGGGCCACUCCCACCCUGUGUGGUGUGUACUUUUGUUUUCAAUAAAUCUCUGCUUUUGUU